rnacentral:rRNA from 1 species
UUAACACAUGCAAGUCGAACGAUGAAGCCCCUCGGGGUGGAUUAGUGGCGAACGGGUGAGUAACACGUGGGCAAUCUGCCCUUCACUCUGGGACAAGCCCUGGAAACGGGGUCUAAUACCGGAUAACACUCCCGCCCGCAUGGGCGGGGGUUGAAAGCUCCGGCGGUGAAGGAUGAGCCCGCGGCCUAUCAGCUUGUUGGUGAGGUAGUGGCUCACCAAGGCGACGACGGGUAGCCGGCCUGAGAGGGCGACCGGCCACACUGGGACUGAGACACGGCCCAGACUCCUACGGGAGGCAGCAGUGGGGAAUAUUGCACAAUGGGCGCAAGCCUGAUGCAGCGACGCCGCGUGAGGGAUGACGGCCUUCGGGUUGUAAACCUCUUUCAGCAGGGAAGAAGCGCAAGUGACGGUACCUGCAGAAGAAGCGCCGGCUAACUACGUGCCAGCAGCCGCGGUAAUACGUAGGGCGCAAGCGUUGUCCGGAAUUAUUGGGCGUAAAGAGCUCGUAGGCGGCUUGUCACGUCGGGUGUGAAAGCCCGGGGCUUAACCCCGGGUCUGCAUUCGAUACGGGCUAGCUAGAGUGUGGUAGGGGAGAUCGGAAUUCCUGGUGUAGCGGUGAAAUGCGCAGAUAUCAGGAGGAACACCGGUGGCGAAGGCGGAUCUCUGGGCCAUUACUGACGCUGAGGAGCGAAA